rnacentral:lncRNA from 1 species
UUGGAUCCUAGUGAUCCAAUGGUUCAGAACUGGUUAACCAAAACCAUAUAACUGUCUGAAUAAGAGCCCCCCUCCCCCAUUCAAACCCCUCAUUCAGUCAUCUCCCCUAAGUUUCGUUAGAAACCCUAGCCGCCCCCAAAUUCCCAAAUCCCACCGACCAGCGGUGCCACUCCAAACAUCCUCAUCUUCUAACCAGACAACCACCAUAACCUCCUCAUCCUAUAUCUAUCACUAAUUUUUCCAAAAUCCUUACCCAUUUGCUCCAAUUUCAGAUCUAGAACUCUGAAAGAAAACCAAAACCCUAAACUGUCUUUUUCUCUUCGAUUUUUAUGGUUUCAAAGGCUCGAUUUGAGCCAAAGUUUAUUUCUAGACCGCCGGAUUCCGACCAAGUCAGUACUGACCGGCCAAGCUUCGUCAAGUAUCAUCGUUCGUUGAUUUGCCUUGUUUGUUCAAGCAUAUCCGACCAAAUCAGUAUAUGUUUCUUUCUCUUUUCUUUUUUUUGUUGUUGUUUUUUUCUGUUUUUUCCUUUAUGUUCUUUUAUCACUAGUUAGUUUGAUUAGUUCAAUUUAAAAAUAGGUUACUUAAGUUAAUUGCAUGAUUUGGGAUUAACACUUUGGUUUGAUUUUUCUGUCCUGGCCGAAUUCAAUUAGUGUGUUCAAUAGCAUAAAGUAUCAAAGUAAUUUGUUAAAGUAUUUAGUUGAUUAAUAUUUGUUCCUGUCAGUGUGUUUGUUCGGAAUUGAAACUUGAGGGGGGUCUAAAGGAACAUGGAAACUUAGGGUAUUUAGAAUCAGAAAUUAAGUUGGCUAUUGGUAUUAAGCAGAACUUAAAGGGACCAAUUUGGAAGUUGAAAUAGAAGAAUUUCAUAUAAAAUAUCAGAAGCUUCUAGAAGGGACUAAAGGUUUUCUUUAAAAUCAGAAUUUAGGUCAAAAAAAGACAAAAGGAGGAAAUUUUCAGAAGUAAAAGGAUUAAAAAAGUUGAGUAAAUAUCUGGAUAGAACAACUGUCCUAACAAUUGUACCAAGACUAUCAAAAGAUGUAUGAUCUGACCUUUUAGGAAUUUAUGGCAUAAUAUGUCUUUUGGAUGUUGUUUUUGUACACUCUAUAAAAGAAAAGGACCAUUAUUGAUUCUGGGCAGAAUUUUGACAACAAAGAAAAGCUUAUGAGACUCAGAAUAUCUUUUUCCUUUUAAGACUGAUUUUGAAACCCAAAAUGUUUUUCUUAAUUGGAGAAAACCUUUCUCAUUUGGCAAGAAUUUGGCUUGGGAGCUUCAUUUGGUCUGGGGUUUACUGGUGUGCUUUUGUUUGUUGUUGCUGCUAAAGUUGGCCUUUUCUCUUUGGAUUUCUACGCCUUUAUUUGGGUCAUUUUCUUCUGUCCUCUUAUUUCUAGGUAUGUAACAUCACAAUCUAAAACCUCUCUUAAAUAUAAAACUGAAGUUUUAAUCUGUUCAAGCUUUGCCUAUGUUUAACAGUUUGUGCCUCAAAGAUGUAUGAUUAUCUUGUUUAUUAUCAAAUCUAUCCAUUCUUUCCUUUCUUCUUCCAUGAUGAAUGAAGUAUAUUACUGUGAUUGUGCUGCUCAAAGUCUCUUUAGAAUGGAGUUAUUUGAUUUUUAAAGUAAAGUGAUGUAGCAUAAGUUUAGUCCAUGAAUAAAAAAGACUUAUUUGGUACAUUAGCAUUUACACUUUUCUUUUAAAAAAAAUUGAAUGUGUAAGUUGCAUGAAUAAGUUGAUGUCAAUAUGGUUAAAGUUUGCAGUUUCAGCUUUAGCUUUAUAUAUAGAGCUUCUAUAGUUGUUUUCUGCAUAUAUUAUUGAAUGAGGUGGUAUUAAUCAGAGGAUAUUGAAGGGUGUUGUUGUUGGUCACAUGGCUAUAUUCUGCAGAUUUGGCCACCAGUUGGCCAAAUCAACAAUAUCUAGGCCAAAGAAUGGGAUUCUGUUGAUGAUAGCAUGCUGAAAAUAAUGGUUUCUUGUGGUGGAUCAAGCUUUUGAUGGAUAAUUCAUAUCCAAAAGGGGCAAGUAUUCACUAGACUAUCAAUUACGUGGAAAUUGUAAUAGAAUAGUUGAUAUUUUUCUCUUGUAUGAUCAAUUUCUGGCGUAGUAGAUCAAGUGUAAUUCUCACAUUUUUUUAAAGAUAUUUUGUAAUAGCUGCCAGUUUAGUGUCAAGAUGCUAUAAAUAUAACAUGACCAUUAGAAAGUCAGCUGAGCUUAUGUGAAUUCAUGAUGAGUUUGAAGUAAUUAAUGACUUGAUGAUAACAACUUUUGCGUUGAUGAUUGUUAUUUAAAAUUAAUUUUGAGCAGAGUGGUAUCUUUGAGCAUGUUAUAUCGAGUUUCAUGGCUAUAAAUUCAUUGCAUGAUGUUUGAUUUUUGGUUAGUUGUGUUAUUUAGCCAAAGUCGACUUUGGGCCUGACUGAUAAAAAUGACCCGUUGAGGUUUAAACCAGUCUGGACACUCUAGGCCGUUGGGCUUCAGAGUUGUCCCAUUGAAAUUCGAAAUGGAUUAACAAUCCAACAUUGCACAUUGUUUUGCCUAUCUUAAUAUUGCCCAAGCGUGUAGGCUAUAAAGAGAAUAUUGAACCAGUAUGUGUGAAUAAGUAUAGGCAACGAUUGUAGUCAAAUGUGCCAACUCUCUGAUUUUUUUCAUAAUGGUCAUUCUCCAUAUUUACUAGCCAACAACUUCCUCAACCUUAGCCUUCUCAAUGAUUUAAAAAUAGUUUUUUAUGCUUUAGGUGUGAAUUUGACAAGAUGUCGAUUUUUUAAUUAUUGAAUUACUAAUAGUUGAAUACUUUCUUUUUAAAAUAAAUCGAGGCGCGCCAUUCACAAUUGAAUCCCAUAAUCUAUGGCCCUCACAUUAACAACUAGUGUGGAAAACACUAUGAACACUCGUAGUUUACUUUAGGCUCGACUUAGACUAUUAUUGUGAUUAUGUCUACGUUCGUGUACCAUAAUUGCAAAUUUAUUUCUAAAAAUAACUCGGGGGAUGCGUUCGCACAACUUCAACCAAACUUUUCUUAAUAAAAUAAACAAAGCGUUAUUAAUUAUAGACGCGUUUGCGUGACAUGAUUUUUGACGCGCCAAAAGAAAAGAGUAUACGUACGCGUAACUCAAUUCUUUAAUUACGAAUAAAUCAAUGAUUAAAAGAGGUUAAAAGAUAAAUGUACAUAGGUCCUAAAAAUGAGUAGGUAAAUAAUUUAAGCCAAGUAAUAAUCACUAAGCGACCGUGCUAGAACCACGGAACCCAGGAAUGCCUAACACCUUCUUCCGGGUUAACAAAAUUCCUUACUUAGAAUUUCUGGUUCGCAAACUUUUAAAUAAAGUCGAAAAAUUCCUCGAUUUGGGAUUUAAAAUAAACCGGUGACUUGGGAUAUCAAAUAAUUUAUUCCAAGUGGCGACUCUGAUAAAUUAAUUAAUCCCAUUUCAAUUAAUGUCACUUUAAUUGGAAAAACUCACAUAUACCCUCGGGGUGUAAAAAGGAGGUGUGACAGCUCUGGCGACUCUACUGGGGAAUAAGAACCAAGAACUUCCAGUUCAGGGUUCAAGAAUUCGAGCUUAUUAAUGUGAUUUCUUAUUUGGCUUUAUUGUCGAUAUUACUGUAUUUUGUGGACUUAAUAUGCUAAUUGCCAUUUACCGCUUUGAUAUUACCUGAACUGUAUUUAAAUAUCUUCUUACGCCUCCCUUGUGAAUCUUCUAAAGAAUGGUGCUCACGUUCGCGUGGCCCACUUUUCUGUUAGAGUUAUACCAAAUAGAACGGGGCAGGGCAAGCAACAAGGCCGGGCAGACUUUCGUGCUCCCGGUACGUUGCCCCCUCCUCGACUCGAGUUUGUCCGCUCGGGUAAGCCAGGUUUAGAACACAACCCCAGGUUUAAACUUAGAAUAACAUAACCUCAUGUCGGAUCCCUAGUAGGAACGUUUAUUUGCAUCACGUGCAUUUAACCUUGGGGACUUAACACAAGGAUUGGGCCCGUCUAGGACAAGUGUACCCAAAAUAAAGACCAUCCUGAUGCAUCCUACAUGCUAUGUGAAUAUUUAUUUGUUUCGGCUUGCAUGUUGACCGGUUAGGAAAAGGAAAUAAAGAGAAAAACAAAGAGUGAAGUAGAAUAGAGAAUUCACCCGGUUCUAAAAAAUCCAGGUAUUUGAAAAUGUCUCGAAACUCUGUCAAAUUGUUUUUUGUUUGAAAAGAAAAAGAGGAAAGGAAAAUGUAUUUCAAAAAGAGUGGGUCAAAUAUCAUGUUUUUUUCAAUUAUGUCAAAAUUGACCAAACUACGCAAGUCUGAUUCUCACCGGAUGUGGGAUACGUAGGCAACCCACAUAAGGUUCAGCCUCAUUUUUUACAACAAAUAAUCAAGUAAAGUGUAGUUUAGGGCUUUGGUCAAAAGAAUAAGCCGACCUAGCUUCGGUUGUAUUUAAAGGCGUUCUUGCCAGGAUAGCCUUAGAUUAUCUUUCAAUUGUCGAAAGGCCAUUUUUCGUGAAGAACGGGCAAGUCUGUCAGUAAGGUGUCUUUUUCCAUAAAAUACCUUCCCCCGGCCUCAAAAGUUUUUUGGAAUUGUGAAGGGGCCACGUUUACAAAAACGACCAUUUUUGCUAAAGUAGCAUAAGGGGGUCAUUGUCUGUUGAUUUUCCUUUAGAAAUUGAAAACUUGUUUUUGCAAAAAGAGUCCACCAGGGUCAACCCUAACCUUAACCCUCCACAGGUACAAAUGAAUACGUCCAGAACCCGUCACAAUUGGUCAUAGAACAGGUUCAGCUACAGCUUCGCAUGUGGUGGAAUGAUUUAGAUAAAGAUGGCCAAGAUUGAGUAAAAAAUCAGUUGGGUUCCCUUAGAGACAUCAUGAGCAUCAAACCCCGGGAAGAUCUAAUCAAAGUUGUGGUAACCUUUUCGGAUCCUGUUCACAACUUGUUCCAUUUCUUGGAUUUCGAGCUCGCCCCUACUCUGGAGGAAAUGGCCGGAUACAUUGACUUUGGCCAGGACUUGAGGAAACAACAACUUAUAUUCCCGAGGGCUCCCUCUGUGCACAAGUUCUUUGAUCUUCUGAAUAUAAGUAAGCAAAUGAAGAAGGACCAUGUAAACAACGGAUGUUGUUCUUUCUACUUCUUGUACUUCAGUUUCAGGCACUCAGCUGGGUUUGAAAUGCAUGAAAAGGGAUUAAACAACAAACAAGAUAAAAGCACCUGGCAGAUUCAUCGUCAGUUCGCUUUCAUCGUGGCGUUUUUGGGAAUUAUGGUCUUUCCAAAUGCAAAAGGGACAAUAGAUACUCGUAUGGCCAUAAUUGCACAAAUCCUCACUACCAAGAAAGAUCACACACUUGUUCUGUUAGUGCUGGCAGACAUUUAUCGAGCAUUGACCUUAUGUAAAUCCGGGGGCUCAAUUCUUUGAGGGUUGCAACAUUCUUCUUCAAAUGUGGUUGAUCGAACAUCUCCGCCGUCACCCUAAGUUCAUGAGUUAUGGUUCGGACAGGAACAACUUCAUCAAGAAUUAUGAGGAAAGAGGGGAAGACUAUAAAUCUCUAGAAGGGUUUGAGGCCUAGGUCUCCCAUUAAGAACUCUGAAAGCAAGUCAAAUUGAAUGGACCAUAGGAUGGCUUCCGGUAACGGAGGUCAUAGACAUGACAACUUCAAAAGGCUACUUGAUGAUGAUGGGCCUAAGGAGUAUCCAACCAUAUGCACUACAAAGAGUUCUAAGGCAACUGGAAAGGUAUCAAGUGGUACCCGAAGAUGUAUAUUUGAGUACCCAAGUCAUUGAGCUACACCCAGAAGCAACACUACCUGUGGCUUUAGUCCAACGGGAUUGGAAUGGUUGUCGAUAUCUGAAAAGUGACACCCAAGUACCAGAUCUUGCGAGAGGAGAAGUGGAUCUAAAUUAUGCUGCGUGGUUUGAGAGAAGGUUUUGUGUGAAUGAUGAGCCAGAGCCUGAUCCCGAGCCUGAAAGGCCCGCCAAAAGACCUCAUGUUCAAGCUUUUGAUGAUAAAAUCCGGGAAAGGAUGGCCUGGGGAGAGAAGGAGAAAAAAUAUCAAGCCACCAUUCACACUUUGCAAGAAGAAUUGAGAAACGCCGUAUUCAAUAAUGAUCUACAGGCACAAAAAGCUGAAGGUGAAAGAAGAAGGUUGGCCCAAGAAAAUGAAUCUCUCCGGGCCCAAGUUCGAAAGAUGAGAAUAGCAGCUGAGACCCGGCCAGCAGUAGAAAAGAUGAAAAGCUCAUCUACAACCUUACCCAGAAAGUACGUGACUAUGAGGAUGAUUUGCAAAAGACUGAGGCUGAGCUAGCGAAAGCCCGAACAAAGUUGGCCAAAAAUGCAGAAGAACGGGCAACUUUCAUUCGACAACUGAAAGAAAAAUAUGACAUAGGGGUCAUGGGUUGGAAAAAAGAGCUUAAUAGCCUUGAGGUUGAAAUGACUAAACAAGCCAAGAGCUUUAAAUCCAAGAGAGAACAUUGCUACGCUUUGAUGGCACAGCUAGAGGAAGACCUACAGCAUUUGCAAGAGCAGAAUCAUAUGGCCACCCAGGUUUUGGAGGCCAAAUCUCAACAGAUUGGGCGGUUGUUGCAAGAAAAGGGCAUCAUCAAGGAAAGGGUUAGAAGAAUCGCCGACUAUAUUGUGAUGAAGUGCAACGAGUGUGAGGACAUGACCAGGUCUAUGUUCUUCGCCACAAUAAUGAUCUUUGUUCGCCAGAUAAUGGAUGACCUCUAUCACCUCCAGGAAGACAUGGCGUGUAGGCCCGCGGCAAGACCAGCUGGUAUCCCUAGGGUAGGAUUGGAGGCACUUAUGUACUCCUGAUUGUUUUCCUUCCUCUUUUCGAGUCUGUAUUUUCAUUCCUAGAGUCUAUUUUGAGUCUGUUUUAGUUUUUCGAGUCUUAAGUAUGUAUGAUCGAGUCUUUGUGAUAGAAGUUUUUGUUUUAAUGAAAAUUUGAAAAAAAAAACAAAAUUUGUUUAUUUCACAUUUUUCCUUUGAACUACGUGAUGAUCUGAUUCAUGCAGCGUUGUGAUACAUAGGCAAUACCCAUUGGAUCUAGUCAUGGUUUUAAAUAACUCAAAUAAAAAGAAAAUGACAAAAAGAGAGUACCAAAAGUAAAAAGAAAAGAAGAAAAAAGAGGAAACAAGAAAAAGAGAACAAAAACAAGAGGGAAAACAAUGAGAGAGUGCAAAAGAAAGCAAGAGAAAGAUCGGGGAGAUAAACAAAAGCCGGGAUGAGACACACAAUCAUUGCAAAACAUGUAGAAACACAUUUAACUGUAUAGGUGCAUCACACCCCUAAUGUGCGAUUCCCUAUGUGUUAAUUGCAUCGAACUAACCGGUUUGUUGUGUCUACUGUUGAGUUCAGGUUCUGUUUUAUGGUGGUUGGUUUUGUGGUAUCCUAGCUUAGCACCCUUACUUUACAAGAUCCAAGGGAAGUGUCGAAAUGUCAUCAGAAAGUCAUCUACCAACAAUUUCCAUCCCAGAGGAUAGCCCGAUAUCAGUUAUCCCAACCUUAGAGUCAGCGGCUGCUAAAGAGAAUAGAGCGAUGCGCCUCCGCAUGUUGGAAAUAUGGGAUGCUUGGUCCAACGGUAGAGAGCCGCUGAGUGCAACACCUAGUUUCCCCGAGCUACUUCCCAGAGCAAGUGGAACUUCUAACAUCCCAAUAAGUUACUCGAACACCCCACUUGGAUACCCCACCAUGUCAGCCCAUUUCGCCGGAACGCCUUCUGAGGUUUGCCCCUAGGCAUUGGUUUCGGGAGUGGCUUCUAACAUAUUCACUGCACCACCGACCUCGACUACGGCAUAGCCAACUUUGCCUAGGCCAAGUUUUGAUCCAUCAUCCUUUACUUUCUAAGUACCAUCUUUUCCAGCAGACAUUGCCUAUUUCACCACCAAUUCUUACCCUCAACAACCCCGGUUUGAGUUUACCGCGGGACAAGAGAAAGCUAUGAAGAAUCCCGAGCAAGAGGAAAUCACUCAGAAAAUGAGAAGCAUGGAACAAAGCCUUAAGAAUAUACAAGGUUUAAGUGGCCAAAAGAGUGUAUCCUACGCUGAUUUAUGUAUAUUCCCGCAUGUUAAUUUGCCCAUCGGUUUCAAGAUGCCCAAGUUCGAAAAGCAUGACAGGAACGGGGACCCCAUAGCGCACCUCAAGAGGUAUUGCAAUCAACUGAGAGGGGCAGGCGGAAAAGAAGAGCUCCUAAUGGCUUAUUUCGAAGAGAGUCUAGUUGGCAUUGCAUCCGAGUGGUACAUGGAUCAAAACAUAUCUCGCUGGCACAUAUGGGAUGAUUUGGCUUGAGAUUUCCUCAGGCAAUUCCAGUAUAAUAUAGACAUAUCUCUAGACAGAAAUUCCUUGUCUAAUCUCAAAAAGAAUUCUUCGAAGAGUUUCCGAGAAUAUGCUGUUAAGUGGCACGAAUAAGCAGCCAGGGGAAAACCUCCGAUGGAUGAGGCCGAGAUGGUCAGUGUUUAUCUACAAGCCCAAGAGGCUGACUACUUCCAGAAUAUGAUUUCUACAAUGGGAAAGCCGUUUGAUGAGGCUAUCAAAAUUGGGGAGAUGGUCGAAAAUGGUUUGAAGACAGGCCACAUAUUGAGCCAGUCUGCUAUAAGAGCUACGUCUAAAGCAAUCCAGAGUGGGUCAGGAGGUGUAGCAAACAUAAAGAAGAAAGAAGAAGUGGCGAUGGUGGCUUCAAGCCUGAGAAACCCCCGUCAACCCCCAUCAACCCCGAGGUUACUUCCUGCCAAACACCCCGCAACAUUAUUAUCCUCACUAGGAUGUGGCUUAUGCCAUGGCUCCUCAGCCUUAUACGGUGAUGAAUGUCUAGCCAUACGCUCGGCCACAACAACAGUUUAACCAAAAUCGAGCUCCACUUCCUAGAAAUAACCCUCCUCACCAAGCUCCAUAUAAUCCCCGUCCCCCACAAAAUAAUUUUCCAUACAAUGCCCGUGCCCGGGAGCCACCCAGAAGAACCAAAUUCAUGCCUAUUGGUGAAUCAUACUCUAGCCUUUUCCCUAAACUGGUCCAAAUGGGUUUGUUGUAACCCGUACCCUAAACCAGGCAAAACCUAGAGUCGCCCUCCUACCAAUAUGGUGCCCGAUGUGCUUACCAUUCAGGAGCGGAAGGGCAUGACACUGAAGAAUGUUGGACUCUUAAAAGGGCGGUCUAAAGUCUAAUAGAGCAAAAGCAGAUAGUGUUGAAAGAUGAAGAGAUCCCCAAUAUGACCAACAACCCAUUACCGGCUCACAAUAACGGGCUAGUUAUUGGGAUGAUUUGUGAUAAUAAAGAGUUUGACCCAGCUUUGAAAGCCAUCAUUUCCAUCGCCGAUAUUGAAAAGAAGCCAAGGGCGGCUGCAAAGCAAGAUAAGGGGGAGAAGAAGAGUAACUCUGCCCCUUAAAGUGUAGAAAAGACGGUAGAAACCAAAACAGGGGCAGUACCCCCUAAGGAUGCCAUUCUUUGUUCCCUGGGCCUUCAGAAAAGAACAAUUCGCAUUGAGACCUCUUAAAAUGUUCAAGCUAAACAAGGGACCUAAGAUAUAUGUACCCAAAUGGACUUAUAUGGCGCGGGGACCAAUAAUUUCACCGGGGCUGAACGAGCCCGUGAUCAUUAGCCGUGCACCACAAAAGCCCAUGAAAGACCCCACUGCAGUCCCCUGGAACUACAACAAAGCAAUUGUGACGUACGGGGGAAAGAAAUCAUGGGGAAGUAAAUGAAACUAACCCAUCUGGGAAGUACCUCAAUCUGGAAGAAGUGAACAACGCCAAGCAGAAGCGUUUUCCGCUUAAAAAUCCAGUCAGUGCCGAAGAAGCAGAGGAAUUCUUCCAAAAAAUGAAAACUUUGGACUACGAGGUAAUUGACCAACUCCGGAAGUCUCCCUCUCAGGUCUCACUCUUGUCUCUACUGAGAAGCUCGACUGAGCAUCAGAAAGUGUUGAUAAAGACCCUCAAUGAAGCAUAUGUUCUAAUUGAAACCACUGUUGAGCAACUGGAAAUGAUGGCGGAAUGAUUCUUCGAAGUCAAUCGGAUUUCAUUUCGCAGAAAUGACUUGCCCCCAGAAAGGGAUGCCCACAACAAAGCUCUUCAUCUGACAGUUAAAUGUGAAGGGUACUAUGUGAAAAGAGUCAUGCUGGAUGGCGGAUCUGGGGUUGACAUCUGCCCUCUCUCAACUUUGCAAAGAAUGGAAAUUGGGACUGAGAGAAUCAGGCCUAACAAUGUUUGUGUGCAUGAUUUUGAUGACAUCAAGAGAGACACAAUAGGAGAGAUUGAUUUGAUCUUGACUAUCGGUCUUGUGGACUUCGAAGUGACAUUUCAGGUCUUGGACAUGGACACCUCUUAUAAUUUUCUCUUAGGAAGGCCUUGGAUCCAUGCUGCAGGGGUCGUACCUUCUAAUCUCCACCAAAUGGUAAAAUUUGAACACGAAGAUCAGGAAAUCAUAGUCCAUAGAGAGGAUGGGCAAUCAAUUUACAAGGACCCGUCAGUUCCAUGUCUCGAGGCUAGGGAAGGUAGCGAGCACAUAGUCUAUCAAGCUUUUGAGGUUGUGAUCGCAGAUCAAUGUGAUGAAGGAAGCCCGUGUCCUCAACCCUUUUUGUCAAAUGCGUCAAUCAUGGUCACUACUGAAAUGAUCAAGCACGGUUAUAAGCCUGGAAAGGGGCUCGGGGCAUCUUUGCAAGGUAUUAUAGAGCCCAUCACCUUGGCUGCCAGUAAGAACUUCUUUGGUGUCGGUUUCCAAGCUACAGAAGCCGAUGUGAAAUGGGCUAAAGAACAUAAGAAUAAUGGGUGGGUUCUACCUCAGCCGGUCUCGUAUCUCGCCAGAACAUCUGUUAAGCCAAAGUAUAUAAAAGAAGAGGACGAUGAGGCCUUCACGACCGAAGAAAUUGAGGACAUAUGUGGAGCCAUGAGGCAAAUGUUGUAUGAAGCUCACAUGGUGUAGCCGGGAGAAGGCUCGAGCACUGCUGAGGUGCAAUAUAUGGGGCCUGAUGCCAAGCUUCAGAAUUGGAAUGCUACUCCGUUCCCAGUCAGGCGGGAAUCCCAGUAGUCUAGUCUUGCCACCUUUUCUGCAUUCCAAAUUAUUCCAGGGUGUAACUCGAAUGUUUCUUUUAGUUUAUUGUCUUUAAAAUUCCAAUGUAAACCCUUCUAUCUUCAAAUUCAAUGAAAUGAAUCAAUAUUUCAUCAUCUAUGAAUCUCUUUCUUUAUUCUUUCUGAUUUUUGUUACUUUUCUUAUUUCUUCUUUCCAGUUCUAAUAAUGCAAACAUAAAUAACAUGACAUGCUUACGGACUUCAUGCCCAGAUCAUAGCACGUUGUCUAACUGUGAAAUAAUGAAUCAAGAACCAGAAUAUGAUGAAGAUGAGGCUUUUAGGGAAAUAAAUCGAGAACUAGAACAAUUCGAGAAUAAACCUAAGCCAAACUUAAAUGAAACCGAGCCGGUUAAUUUGGGUAGUUCAGAAGAGGUCCAAGAAACCAUGAUAAGCAUUCACACGGAUGAAAGAACUAGGGAUUCAUUGAUCCAACUUUUGUUCGAAUUCAAAGAUGUGUUUGCUUGGUCUUAUGAUGAUACGCCAGGACUAAGUGUUGAUUUAGUGGUACACAAAUUGCCAACUUACCCCGAUCAUCCCCCUGUCCAGCAAAAAUAGAGGAAGUUCAAAACUGACAUCAGUGACAAGAUCAAAGAAGAAGUCACCAAACAGUUAAAGGCGGGGGUGAUCCGAGUGGUCCGAUACACCACAUGGUUGGCUAAUGUGGUUCAAGUGCCAAAGAAAGAUGGGAAAACUCAAGUGUGUGUUGACUAUCGGGAUCUGAACAAAGCAAGUCCCAAAGACAACUUCCCUUUGCCAAAUAUCCACAUCCUUGUUGACAACUGUGUCAAACAUGAGAUACAGUCUUUCGUGGAUUGUUAUGUUUGAUAUCAUCAGGUUUUGAUGGAUGAAUAAGACUCGGAAAAGACAGCCUUCACCACACCCUGGGGCACCUAUUGUUACAGGUUCAUGUCUUUUGGUUUGAAGAACGCUGAGGCAACUUACAUGAGAGCUAUGACUGUCAUCUUUCAUGACAUGAUGCACCAAGAAAUUGAGGUGUAUGUGAACGAUGUAGUCAUUAAAUCAAGAAUGCAGGAUGACCAUGUUCGGGAUCUGAGAAAGUUCUUUGAGCAUCUGCGUAAGUAUGACUUGAAGGUAAAUCCAGCUAAAUGUGCAUUUGGAGUUCCGUCUGGGAAACUCUUGGGAUUUAUAGUCAGUCAGAGGGGCAUUGAGAUAGAUCCCACAAAGAUAAAGUCUAUUCGGGAUUUGCCUCCUCCGAGAACCAAGAAAGAGGUUAUGAGUUUGUUGAGAAGCUUGAAUUACAUCAGCCGGUUCAUUGCUCAGUUGACUUUCACAUGUGAGCCCAUAUUGAAGCUGUUGAAGAAAGAUGCAGUGAUUAAAUGGACAGAUGAGUGUCAAGAAGCCUUCGACAAAAUCAAAGAAUAUCUGUCGAAUCCGCCAGUCUUGGUCCCACCCAAACUUGAGAGGCCUCUGUUUUUGUAUUUGAUAGUGUUGGAGAAUUCCUUUGGGUGCGUUCUCGGGCAACAUGAUAUGACCGGGAAGAAAGAACAUGAAAUAUAUUAUUUGAGCAAGAAGUUCACUAGUUACGAAGCCAAAUACACUUUGUUUGAAAGGACUUGUUGUGCCCUAACUUGGGUCGCUCAGAAGCUUAGGCAUUACCUGUUGGCCUACACCACCUAUCUCAUCACCAGGUUGGAUCCUUUGAAGUGCGUAUUCCAAAAGCCGAUGCCCAUGGGAAGGUUAGCAAAAUGGCAAAUCCUGCUCACCGAGUUUGACAUAGUCUAUGUCACCCGCAAGGCAAUGAAAGCUCAAGCCUUAGCGGAUCACUUAGCGGAAAAUCCUAUUGAUGAUGAAUAUCACUCUCUGAGUACUUACUUUCUGGACGAGGAAGUAAAUUCAAUUGAGGUAAUUUUAGAAGACACCAAUGCUUAGAAAAUGUUAUCGAUGGAGCUGUGAACGCAAAAGGUGUCGGGAUAGGGGCAAUCUUGAUCUCACCCACUGGUCAGCACUAUCCUUUCACAUCCCAGCUUCGGCUUUUCUGCACCAACAACACUGUCGAGUAUGAAGCCUGCAUUAUGGGUAUGAACUUGGCAAUCGACCAAGAUGUGGAAGAAUUAUUAAUCAUGGGAGAUUCGGACUUGAUUAUCCGACAAGCUCAGGGUGAAUAGGAAACUCGGGAUGUCAAGUUUAUUCCAUACAAGCAACAUAUGGAAGAUCUUAGCAAGCGGUUCAAGUCAGUCAAGUCCAGGUACACUCCUCGGUUUCAUAAUGACUUGGCCAAUGCACUCGCUACUUUGGUCUCAAUGUUGCCAUAUCCAGGCGAUGUCCACAUUGACCCGUUGGAAAUCCAAAUCCGAGAAAGCCAUGGUUAUUGCAAUACGAUUGAGGUGGAACCAAAUGUUCAGCCAUGGUAUCAUGAUAUCAAGAUGAAAACAAAGGAAUAUCCCGAGCAAGCCAAUGAAGACCAAAAGAGAACCAUUAGAAGGCUUUCUAGUGGCUUUUUCUUGAGCAGGGAGGUCUUGUACAAAAGGACUCCGGAUCUGAACCUUCUAAGAUGCGUGGAUGCCCAAGAGGCCGGAAGAAUCAUGAAUGAAGUACACGCAGGAGUGUGUGGACCCAUAUGAAUAGAUACGUCAUGGCAAAGAAAAUCGUUCGAGCAGGUUAUUACUGGAUGACUAUGGAAAGGAUUACUUCAGUUUUGUCCGAAAAUGUCAUCAGUGUCAGGUGCACGGUGACCUGAUUCAUGCACCACCUUCAAAACUGCAUCCUAUGUCAGCACCAUGGUCGUUCAUUGCUUGGGGUAUGGAUGUCAUUGGGCCAAUCGAGCCAAAAGCUUCAAAUGGGCAUAGAUUCAUAUUGGUUGCCAUUGGCUACUUCACAAAAUGUGUUGAAACAGUCACUCUCAAAGCCGUCACUAAGAAAGCAGUGGUAGACUUCGUGCACUCCAACAUCAUCUGCUAUUUUGGUAUUCCUAAAACUAUCAUUACGGACAAUGCUGCAAAUCUGAAUAGUCAUUUGAUGAGGGAAGUAUGCGAACAAUUUAAGAUCACGCAUCGAAAUUCUACCCCUUAUAUGCCCAAAGCUAUCGAUGUUGUCGAAGUAGCAAACAAGAACAUCAAAAAGAUUCUUAGGAAGAUGAUCCAAAGUUCUAGACAAUGGCAUGAAAAGUUGUCAUUUGCAUUGUUGGGUUAUCACACAAUUGUGCGCACAUCAGUUGGAGCAACACCCUAUCUAUUGGUUUAUGGCACUAAAGCCGUAAUACCCGCAGAAGUUGACAUUCCUUCUCUCCGAAUCAUCGUUGAAGCUGAGAUUGAGGAUAGUGAGUGGGUCAAGACCCGUCUAGAACAGCUAACCCUGAUUGAUGAAAAGCGGAUGGCCACAGUUUGCCACGGGCAGUUGUAUCAACAAAGAAUAUCUCGUGCCUACAACAAGAAAGUACGACCUAGAUACUUUGAAGUGGGGUAACUUGUUUUGAGACGUAUUCUCCUGUAUCACAAGGAAACAAAAGGAAAGUUCGCUCCAAACUGGAAAGGUCCAUACAUUAUAAGAAACUUAUUGCCAAAAGGGCAUUGUACUUGGGAGACAUUGAAGGAAAUAACCCUGAAACAACAGUAAAUGCCGACGCGGUCAAAAGGUAUUACGUUUAACCCUUCUGCGGUACCGAUAUUAUUCGAUUGGGAUGACGAAGGUUUUCAUUCUCGCUACCACAAACACUUCAACCCUUUGCUAACCCUUUGAGCUAGUUAUCUUUCUUUGAUUCAGGGGCGGCCCGACGAAUUUUAUGGCAUAAAGCCAAACUUUACGAGGGGCCUUAAAUUUUUAAAUUUUUUUUAAAAUUGAUUUGAAGUCUAUUUUUUUUAGCUUUUUUGAGAUGCAUAGUAAUUUAAUUUUCUUAUAAUCAUAACUCCUAAUAAGUAUUUCUCAAUUGACAAUAUAGGGAAUCCACUUAACCUUUCUUGUGACAUUGUUGUUCUUAGGUAAGAUUUUAUCAAUUUUAAUUUUGAAAACUUUUUUGCACUGAAGCAACGGUAACUUGAGUUAUAAAUAUUAUUCCAUAAGUAAUUUAGGCAUUUGGAAAAGAAUUAAAUCCUUUUAUUUGAUUAAGUUUAUCAAUUAAAUUAUUAUCUUCUAAUUGUACUAUUUUCCUUAAUACUUUUAAUUCAGAAAAUAAAUCUAAAUCAUCAAUAUCGAAUUGAUUAUUAUGCUUUAAAGAAAAUUCAAGAUUAAGGCAAUAUUUUUUGAAAUUUCCAACAUCUAGUGAUCUUAGUUUUUACUGCCAAAUAAAAAAUUAAAAAUAUUUUCAUAUGCUUCGAAUUGUUCAAAUCUAUUUUGAAGUGAAAAAAUAGCCUUGUCUAUUAUGUAUAAAAGUAAUCAACUCUAAAGGACUUUUCGAAAGAUUUUGGGAUUUCAUUAUCAACAUUCGCAUCAAAUUGUUACUUCCUAUAUAUCACACGUUUCUUACAAAAUUUGGGUUCGAUAUCUAUUUCAAGUGCAAUUUCCUUGGUAGAAAUCAUAGCGGUUGCAAAACCUUCUUCUCUGUAUUUGUUAGAAAGAAAUAAAACUUUUUCACUUUACAGAAUAAUUUUUUAAACUUAUACAUAAUCUAUUAGGUGUGACAAAAAAUGGGGCCCUCACAAAUAUGGGGCCUAAAGCGCUUGCUUUACUUGCUUUAUGGAAGGGUCGCCCCUGCUUUGAUUACCCUCUUUGGAAUCCGAAAGCAUUUGUUCAAAACAAAUCAAUCUAAAUCAAAAUCAAAAACAAUGUUUCCCCUGAACUACGUUCGAAUUGAUUCCGAAAGGAUACGUAGGCAGCCUCUCUUUGGGGUUCAGUCACACCAAAACAAAAAUCCACAUUCCCCCAAAGUUAAAACUGGGGCGGAAUUUAUAAUGGUUCAGCGACGAUCGCCUGAAAGGUUACAAAGUUGUAGUUCAAUCCAAACUCUUGUUACCCAAAAUCCUGUUCAAAGCCCUUCGGAUCGUUGUUCAAUCCAAGUUGUGUUCAAAGAAGUUCACAAGGAGAGGUUGUUGGAUCUAAUACAAUCAAAUGAGAGAAAUAAAAUAAGAGAGUCUUAUUGGUGAAAAUCCACACGGGCACCGUAAGGCGAUGGUGAGCAGAGAAACUGAAAAUGAGAGUCUUGUUAGUGAAAAAUCGCAAAGAGCACUAUAAGGCGACAGUGAGAAGAGAAAUGAGAGAGGUCAGUUGGUGAAAACCCGCAAAGGGCGCCAUUGAUCGAAAAAGAAGGAAUUCCUUACAACCAUCGGCACUAAUAGAGUCCUGGCAAGGUUUCUCGGUUUGAUAUACGAGUUAUGAUGGGUUUAUGAGAGAUUAGAUGGUUGCACAGAUCAGGUAUCCAGUCCAAGAAGUAUUUCAUGUCUAUUAAAGUCUGCAUGCACUCGAGAUAAGUCCUUCUCUCUUUCCCCCGAAAGGGACACUUCUUGUUAAAUUCAUUAUCAUGUCCUUUAUUUACUUUUAUUUGAAUCCCUUUUGGUUUAAUCCUUCUCCGGAAUUAAUACAAAGAAAAGAUGGCAAGAUUGGUUUUAUAGGGUUCUACUUAAUGAAAGCCAAAAUUCAAGGAAAAGCACCCAGCCUCAGCAGGUGCAUCAAGUCGGUCUCGACUGGCCAUGAUGGCCGAUGCUCCAGAUUCAAAAUUAUUGAAAAGGAAAGAAAUUCAAAGUCAAGUGCCCAUAAAGGCAGAAUAAGAUGAAAAGGCCAAAGCCCCACACGGGCUAACCAUCAUUUGAAAUUUUGGAAAGUCAAGAUCCCUAGGUUUAAAAGAGAGAUUUAUAUCUAUAAAGCCAGCGGGCAAUAGAGAUUUUCAUCGAAAGAGUUGGGCCGAGAUCAAAACAAUCAAGGCCAGAAAACCAACCACCAUUUCAAACUAACAAUUUUUCUUUGUUUGAAAAUAUGAAACGGGUGCAAUCUAAAGCAACCUUGCAAGAAGCAGGUGCCACCAAAAGAAACUACGCAAGGGCUAGAAAUAGUUUUGCAGCAAUAAUCAAUCCAAAAGGAAGUCUCUUCCAAAUUCUUUCCUGCAUUCUUACUCAUUUUUUUCUUAAAUAAUAAAAACAAAAAGAAGAAAAUUCAAAAACAUGGUAGCCUAGGGUCUCCACUCCCUAAUCACUUUUCCAACAUAGGGUCUCCACUCCCUAUUUGAAGUUAUUUUAGACAUAGGGUACUCCCUAGUCACUUUUCCAACAUAGUGACUUUUCUAACAUAGAGUCUCUACUCCCUAAUUGAAGUUAUUUUAGACAUAGGGUACUCCCUAGUCACUUUUCCAACAUAGAGNNNNNNNNNNNNNNNUUUUCUNAACAUAGGGUUUUCACUCCCUAGUUGAAGUUAUUUUAGACAUAGGGUCCCAACUCUUUAGUCGUUUUUCCAACAUAAGGUCUCCACUUGCUAGUUGAUUUUAUUUUUAUAGGGUCUUCACUCCCUAGUCUCUUUUCCAACAUAGGGUCUCCACUCCUUAGUUGAAGUCAUUAUAGAUAUAGGGCUCCACUCCCUAAUAUCUUUUCCCAAGGAUACACAAUCCUGAUUUUAUUGCUUUCAAUAAAGAAAUAAUUUAGAUUUUUGUUACAAAUAACUCACGAAAGUUUCCUAGUGAAAACUGGGGCAGGAAAUGUUGUUCGUUUUUUGCUUUGGUGCCUGAACAGGUUUUCACCGAGAGACACAAGGUUUAAGAUAAUCAAAAGAAGAAGUGUCAACCCUAAUAAAAGAAAGGAAGAACAAGAAAAGAAGUUGAACUCCAAGUAUAGAAACGGAGAAAAGAUGUGAACUGCCCAAGAUAUGAUUGAAGUCACAAGCUUUGCAUGACCCCCCUUGAUCCGAAAAGCCGAAGAAGAAUGAACCAGCGGUUGCAGCUAACGAGCAUCGAGAUUCAGAUCAGAGUCUGCUGGAAGAACUGGCCAAGACUCAAGAUCAAACUUUAGAAGGUUUAUAGAUAGGAAUCUUGUAACUCGUUAGUUGAUAAGCUUAGCUAGUUUAACUUUUCAUCUUUCACUUUGGUGUAAUAAGGAGCUCAUCAAGCAGAAACAACAGCAACAGCAGUGAAAUCACAGUUUUUCGGUAGUUCCAGCUACCCAAAACUUCCAGAACUACACUGAUCUGAUUCCUUUAUAGCCAAGGAUAUGUAGGUAACCUCUGAAGCAAGGCUCGGUCAGACUUUUUUAAAAGAUGCUUCUCAUGAAGUUUCAAACGGGCAAAAAUCGCUCGUAAUUGCUCAUUUUAUCUUUGCCCGAAAACCCUUCGUGUUUCCAAGCAAAGAUAUGCAGCUGUGAGCAUAUGAUUUUUUCCCUAUAUGAAUCACUCAUAUAAAAUCCAAGAAAAAUAGAUUUUUCCAAUUAUUUGCCAUUUUAUAGAAUUUUUGUGGAAUUUUAUUAAUUGUUUGCAUUUUUGUGCACGUUUAAUUUUCAUUAAAAAUCAUGAAAAAUGUCAAAAAUACCAUGCAUUGCAUUUAGCUUUUGUUUUUAUAUUUUUAGGAUUAAUUAGUUAAUUAUUUAUUUUAUUAAAAAUAAAAAUCACAAAAAAUAGCUCAUUUUACAUUUUUACCUUCUAAUUUUUAGAUUAGUAAUUUUUCUCUUUUAUUUUAGGAUCAAGUAAUUUUUAUAAUUUAAUAAUUAGUUUAAUUUUGCAACAUGAUUAAUUUAGGGUUAAUUUAGGAUUUUUAUUAAUUAAAGAAAAGAAAAGAAGAAAAAACAAAGGAAAAAGGAUUAAAAAGAAAUGAAAAGAGGGUUUGAUUUAAUUGGGCUAGUUUUGCACCAAAAUAUUUCCCAACCCAGGCCCAGCAUCCUUUACCCGGUCUAGCCCCCAUCUAAACUAAACGACCUUGUUUUGCCAUCCCUGAUCACAACUGUUGGAUCCUAAUGAUCCAAUGGUUUGGAACUGGUUAACCAAAACCAUAUAACUGUCCGAAUUAGAGCCUCCCCCCCCCCCAUUCAAACCUCUCAUUCAGUCAUCUCCCCUAAGUCCCGUUAGAAACCCUAGCCGCCCCUAAAUUCCCAAACCCCACCGGCCGGCGGCGCCAUUCCAAACACCCCCAUCUUCUAACCAGACAACCACCAUAACCUCCUCAUCCUAUAUCUAUCACCAAUUUCUCCAAAAUCUUUACCCAUUUGCUCCAAUUUCAUAUUUAAAACUCUGAAAGAAAAUCAAAAUCCUAAACUGUCCUUUUCUCUUCGAUUUUUAUGGUUUCAAAGGCUCAAUUUGAGCCAAAGUUUAUGCUAAUCGUUUGAUUUUUACAAGAACAAUCGAUUAGCAUUAGUUUUGGUUUAUUUUAAGACCGUCGAAUUCCGACCAAGUCAGCACUGACCGGCCAAGCUUCGUCAAGUAUCAUCGUUCGUUGAUUUGCUUUGUUUGUUCAAGCAUUUCCGUCCAAAUCAGUAUAUGUUCCUUUCUCUUUUCUUUUUUUUGUUGUUUUUUUUUUCUGAUUUUUCCUUUCUGUUCUUUUAUCACUAGUUAGUUUGAUUAGUUCAAUUUAAAAAUAAGUUACUUAAGUUAAUUGCAUGAUUUAGGAUUAAUACUUUGGUUUGAUUUUUCUGUCCUAGCCGGAUUCAAUUAGUGUGUUCAAUAGCAUAAAUUAUCAAAGUAAUUUAUUAAAGUGUUUAGUUUAUUAAUAUUUGUUCCUAUCAGUGUGUUUGUUAUGAAACUUAAGGGGGGUCUAAGGGAAUAUGGAAACUUAGGGUAUUUAGAAUCAGAAAUUAAGUUGGCUAUUGGUGUUAAGCAGAACUUAAAGGGAC